rnacentral:rRNA from 1 species
UACGUAGGGAGCAAGCGUUGUCCGGAAUCAUUGGGCGUAAAGCGCGCGUAGGCGGCCCUGUAAGUCCGUUGUGAAAGUCAAAGGCUCAACCUUUGAAAGCCGAUGGAUACUGCAGGGCUGGAGUCCGGAAGAGGCGAGUGGAAUUCCUGGUGUAGCGGUGGAAUGCGCAGAUAUCAGGAGGAACACCAAUAGCGAAGGCAGCUCGCUGGGACGGUACUGACGCUAAGGCGCGAAAGCGUGGGGAGCAAACAGG